rnacentral:rRNA from 1 species
AUGGCCACGUUCUUGGGCAGCUCCCCGGCCUUCCUCGCCCGCCCCGCCGCCAAGCCGCACGUCUCGUGCUCGCCGCCCUCGCGCCCGCCCAGCGCCCAGCCGCCGUCCGACCAGCCCCCACCGCCGCCACAGCAGCAGCAAGAGCCCAUGCAGGCGCAGGCGGCACCGGCGAGGGCGCCGGCGCCGAAGCGCGCGGCGACGUCGGCCGACUCGACGGACUGGGUCGCGUCGUCGCUGACGCGGCGGUUCGGCAUCGGCGCCGGGCUGGCGUGGGUCGGGUUCCUGGCCUUCGGCGUCGUGUCGGAGCAGCUCAAGACCCGCUUCGAGGUCGCGCAGCAGGAGGCCAAUACCAAGGAUGUGGAGGAGGAGCAGGAGGUCGUCCUGCCCAAUGGAAUCCGGUACACCGAGAUGCGGGUGGGCGGCGGCGACGUGCCGCGGCCGGGCGACCUGGUGGUGAUCGACCUGCAGGGGCGGGUGGCCGGCGGCGGGGAGGCGUUCGUGGACACGUUCGGCGACGGGAAGCGGCCGCUGGCGCUCGUCAUGGGCUCCAGGCCCUACACCAGGGGGAUGUGCGAGGGCAUCGAGUACGCGCUGCGGUCCAUGCGGAACGGCGGCAAGCGGCGGGUGGUCGUUCCGGCGAGCCUGGGCUUCGGCGAGGACGGCGCCGACUUCGGCGACGACGGUGCGCAGGUGCCUCCCGGCGCGACGCUGGAGUACGUCGUGCAGGUCGACAAGGUGUCCAUCGCGCCGGCGUGA